UAAAUAAUUAUAUAAUUUUAUAAUUAAAUUUAACUCCCCCCAUUUAAUUAAAUAUUGAGAGGCUAAAAACUUAAGACAAAAAAAUUUUACUUAAAAAAUUUUAAAAAAAACUAGGAUUAGAUACCCUAUUAUUAAAUACAUAACAAAAAAAUUUCAUUAUUAAAUGUUAAAUCAUCAAAUUGAAAAAAUUUGGCGGUAUUUUAUUAUUAGAGAAAUUUAUUUUUAAUAGAUACACAACUAUAAUACCAACUUAAAUCUAAUAUUUAUAUAUUGUUGUUUUUAAAUUAAAUUUUUAAAUAUUAAUUAACUUAUUUAUAAUAAAAAAACUAUUCAAAUCAAAAUCUAAUUAAUGUUUAAGAAAAAAAGAAUUUCAAUUUUAAAAUAAUAAAUUUUAUAAAUUAAUUUUAUAAAAUAAAAAGAAUUUAAAAAUAAAGUAAAUUAAAUAUAUUUACUUGAAUAAAAAUUUAAAAUAUGCACAUAUCGCCCGUCAAUUCUCUCCUUAGAAUAAGUCGUAACAAAGUAAAAAUAUUGGAAAAUAUUUUUAGAAUAAAAUUUUAGUUUAAUUAAAAAUAUAAUAUUUACAUUAUUAAGAUAUAAAAUAAAUAUAAAUUUU
rnacentral:rRNA from 1 species